UACGAAGGGGGCUAGCGAUGCUCGGAAUCACUGGGCGUAAAGGGUGCGUAGGCGGGUCUUUAAGUCAGGGGUGAAAUCCUGGAGCUCAACUCCAGAACUGCCUUUGAUACUGAAGAUCUUGAGUUCGGGAGAGGUGAGUGGAACUGCGAGUGUAGAGGUGAAAUUCGUAGAUAUUCGCAAGAGCACCAGUGGCGAAGGCGGCUCACUGGCCCGAUACUGACGCUGAGGCACGAAAGCGUGGGGAGCAAACAGG
rnacentral:rRNA from 1 species